rnacentral:rRNA from 1 species
GACGAACGCUGGCGGCGUGCUUAACACAUGCAAGUCGAACGGAAAGGCCCUGCUUUUGUGGGGUGCUCGAGUGGCGAACGGGUGAGUAACACGUGAGUAACCUGCCCUUGACUUUGGGAUAACUUCAGGAAACUGGGGCUAAUACCGGAUAGGAGCUCCUGCUGCAUGGUGGGGGUUGGAAAGUUUCGGCGGUUGGGGAUGGACUCGCGGCUUAUCAGCUUGUUGGUGGGGUAGUGGCUUACCAAGGCUUUGACGGGUAGCCGGCCUGAGAGGGUGACCGGCCACAUUGGGACUGAGAUACGGCCCAGAAUCCUACGGGAGGCAGCAGUGGGGAAUAUUGCACAAUGGGCGGAAGCCUGAUGCAGCAACGCCGCGUGCGGGAUAACGGCCUUCGGGUUGUAAACCGCUUUCGCCUGUGACGAAGCGUGAGUGACGGUAAUGGGUAAAGAAGCACCGGCUAACUACGUG